GGCGGAAGCUCUCUGUGAGCUCUACUGAUGGCCAGAUAAGGACAUGGGCAAGUGGGACACCUGGAAUGGGCAGGACCCACUAGGCGGCAGGAGGUGUGGAUGCAACUUGCAGGCCUCAGCUGCCUCGCACACUGGUGGCCGUGCAAGCCCAGCCAGGGCCCAGCAGUAGGAGCCGCUCCCCUUGAUCUCUCAGAAGCCAGGAGCAAGCAAACAGACUCCCAGGGGCCCUGGAGCAGCGUGCAAGAGAGAUUUACUGGGGAGCAGAUGCAGGCGUGGCCUCGAGCUCAGCAUGAAUUUCCAGCACUGGAACUGCCCAGCCCAGCAUGGGGAGCACUUACAGCUGCUGUGACUGGGGUCCCCAGGUCAGACUGCACCGACCGAGACUCCGUGGCGCAGUUCCUGUUGUGCCCAGAUGCUGGGAAGUAUCCGUGUUUGCACCUCAGCUAACAGGGGAGGCAUCCACAGCACCGAGACCCAGGAGAGCCACCUCCAGCCCUCGCGACUCUGGCCCGUACCAUGUGUCGCGACUUGCACGGAGGCAAGCAAUCCCAGGGAGCGGCAGCUGGGACCGGACCGGCGCCGGAUGGCUGCAGCUGCGGCGGAUACCAGAGCCACCCAUGGGCUCCUGGGCCAUUGGUGGCUGUGGGGGCCUGCUGAGCAGACGCUGCCCGAUUCUGUCAGGGCCCUUUCCACCAUGGCCCUCCCCUCUGGCCAGACCAUCAUUUUGGUGCCCCCCGAGAGGCAUGAGCCCCUGAGGCCUCUUCCCCUUGGACCUCUAAAAUUCGUCUAAGCGCUUGGAGUAUGGACACCCUCCUGCCCCAGAGCCAAGCUUCACUGCUUGCCAGGCCAGCGGGGGGAUGGCUGUCAUCCUGGCCAGGCAGGGGGCCCUGGCCUUGAGGAGCAGGCUGGAGACCAGGCCACAUGCAGGCAUCAGGGGGCGUGUCUGCAUGGCCAUCCAGCUGCGACUGGCUCCUGCGUGGGGUGGGCAUACUGCGAGCCCCCCAUGUGGGCACACCUAGUGUCUUGCCUUGGGGGCCCUCUGAUGGGAAACGACUGCAUGCCUGCAGUGGCCCUGCCUGGGCACUGACGCCCAGCUGGCCUGAACGUGCACGCCUGAGCCCUCAGGGUGCCCCUGCUGCUCUCAGGGACCAGGGCCCUGUGUCUCUGGUGCUGCCCUGAAUACACGCCUGAUGGGCGACCAUCCUGGACCUGAGCCGGCAGGGCUGUGCAUGCUGUGGAGACGGCGAGGCCGCAGGCUGGUUCGGAGAGCUUGGCUUUCCCCCUGCGCGUGGAGCCGUCAGUUGGGAUGGCUGCCCUGGGUGAAUACGGCCUCUGGUUUCUGGCUGCCUCCCUCUAACUGCUAGUCUUCUCAGUUAAAGGCUCUUAUUUCAGAAACUAAAAUUGGAGGUUUUAUUAAAGAAGCUAGUGGUGUACCUUAUCAAAACCAAUACUUAUAACUUAUCAUGAAUAGAG